rnacentral:rRNA from 1 species
UACGUAGGUGGCAAGCGUUGUCCGGAUUUACUGGGCGUAAAGAGCGCGCAGGCGGCCAAGUCAGUCGAAUGUGAAAGCCCCCGGCUCAACUGGGGAGGGCCAUUCGAUACUGCUCGGCUCGAAGACAGGAGAGGGAAGUGGAAUUCCCGGUGUAGUGGUGAAAUGCGUGGAUAUCGGGAGGAACACCAGUGGCGAAGGCGACUUUCUGGCCUGUUCUUGACGCUGAGGCGCGAAAGCUAGGGGAGCAAACGGG